rnacentral:misc_RNA from 1 species
CCCGGUUUGUCACCGGCAGUCUCGCAUGAGUCCCCAACUAAAUGCUGGCAACAUGCGACGGGGGUUGCGCUCGUUGCGGGACUUAACCCAACAUCUCACGACACGAGCUGACGACAGCCAUGCAGCACCUGUGUCGGCUCCCCUUACGGGGUCGGGCCCCUUUCGGUUUCCUACCACCGAGAUGUCAAGCCCAGGUAAGGUUUUUCGCGUUGCGUCGAAUUGAACCACAUGCUCCACCGCUUGUGCGGGCCCCCGUCAAUUCCUUUGAGUUUCAGCCUUGCGGCCGUACUCCCCAGGCGGGGCACUUCAUGCGUUAGCGCCGGUACCCUGAGGGUCGCUCCCCAAAGCACCUAGUGCCCAUCGUUUACGGCGUGGACUAC